AUGUCUAAGCUGCCCCUGUCGUUUCCCUUCUUUCUUUCCAGGGCGGCACAAAGCCCUGGCCCUGAUCUGGGGCUGGGAUCAUCUGCCCCAAUGAGAAGCAGAAGGGAGAGAUUCUGCAUCACUCGGCAGAAAAGGAAGUGGGAGGAAGGCAGCAGCUGGUCUGUGCUGGGGGACCAGAGUGUUAGGGAUGGAGAGACCCAACGAGCAAGAGAGGGGAAGGACAGAGCAGGGAAAUACAGCAAACUUCAACACUUGCGGAGUUCCUGUCGUGGUGCAGCGGAAAUGAAUCCAACUAGGAACCAUGAAGUUGCACAUUCAAUCCCUGGCCUCCCUCAGUGGGUUAAGAAUCCAGCAUUGCCGUGAGUUGUGGUGUAGGUCCAAGAUGCAGCUCAGACCUGGCGUUGCUGUGGCUCUGGAGUAGGCCGGUGGCUACGGCUCUGAAUAGACCCCUUCCCUGGGAACCUCCAUAUGCCGCAGGUGCGGCCCUAAAAAAAAAGACAAAAAACAAAACAAACAAAACAAAAACUUCAACACUUGCUUGUCAAAAUGAUAUCCAUUCCCAAGAGCACAAUCAGAUGUGCUAAUGAAAGGAAACACAUGUAUACUCCAUGGGUCUCAGGCCUCGGUGGAACACAUUAGACUAGAAACGUCAAUGUGCGUCCAAAUAAUUGAUAUUGGCAUUGCCUGAGACAGCGUCAGGGUUUUCAUUUAUGACUUUUGUAAUUAGCCAUGCUAAUUAAUAGCUGUGUAGCCACUGACCCAAAAAAAGAACUUCAUUAGUAACCAUGAUCACUAAGACAAAUCUAGUUUAAAAAAGUAUAGCUGUGGAGUUCCCUUCAUGGCGCAGUGGUUAACAACUCCGACUAGGAACCAUGAGGUUGCAGGUUCGAUCCCUGCCCUUGCUCAGUGGGUUAAGGAUCCGGUGUUGCUGUGAGCUGUGGUGUGGGUUGCAGAUGCGGCUCGGAUCCCACGUUGCUGUGGCUCUGGUGUAGGCCAGUGGCUACAGCUCCAAUUCAACUCCUAGCCUGGGAACCUCCAUAUGCUGCAGAAGCGGCCCUAGAAAAGGCAAAAAGACUAUAUAUAUAUAUAUGUAGCUGUGCUGAUGAAGAUUUUUUAAAAACCCAGUAAUUGAAUAAGGGAUGCAAGUCAGUAUUUUUAUCAGCCACUCAAAAAAUCUUUUCAAAGGAGUUCCCUACUGGCUCGGUGGGUUGGGGAUCCAGCAACACACCACUGCCAUGGUUCAGGUGGCUACUGUGGCACUGGUUUGAUCCCUAGCCCUGGAACUUUUGCAUGCCGCUGGUGCAGUAAAAAAAAGAACAACAACAACAAAAAACACCUUUUUUUUUUCAAAGAGAAGAGAUGGCCUAGGAGUUUAGGCUUCAGAUAUACAUGUGGAAUCUAGUUACAAAGCCAAGACAAUUCAUGCUUCUAGACAGAUGUCCACCCUUUCUCUCUCUUGAUAGACAGAUUGCAAAGGAUCAAUCCAAACAUUUAUCUAAAAGAAAAUAACUAUUUUAUCCCUGUAAGCCAACACACUAUCAGUCUACACAACAGACUAUAUCCAUACCAUCUUUAUGUUCUCCUGCCCCAGACAUUUCCAAAUAGAACUCAAAGACAGUAAAGAGACCUUUUGUUUUCAUUCCAUUUGCCUUUUUUUUUUUAUUUCAGAAAUCAAACUGGUUAAAAAACAUUUAUGCAUUCCCAGUAACCUGUUUCCAAAUUCAGAGGAUUAAAAAACCUAACAUAAAGGGGAAAAGAUUUUCAAUUUAAGAAUAUUUUUUGGAGGCAUCUACUAUCUACAUAUACCUUCACAGUGUCCCCUUAAAGCCACCCUCCUCAGGGUAUGACAAUCUUGUCAAAGUUCUUUCAAUUAUAAAAGCUCUUAGGCUUUUAGAAUCCUAAAAAGAAGAAACUGAAGGCUUUAAUGAACAAAGAUCAGGCUUGUAAGGAACCCAGAACAAGAGGUCAAGUGUUCUUUUUAAAGUAUUUUAAGUGAGCCUAAAAUAACUGUCCUUGUUAUGAGUCUGUGAGUCUCUUUCACUCAUUCUUCCUUGGACUGGAAAAGUAAACAAAUGUAUGGCCACUAGAUAAAAGUCAGCGGGAAUACAGUGGGACAGUUUGAUGGAAGAAAGUGGGAAGAAAAUCCUGACAACAGAAAGGUCAAAACAAAACAAACCAAAUAAAAAACCCCAGACGUCUUUGGAUGAGAAGGAC
rnacentral:lncRNA from 1 species